AGCAGAGUUGCAUGAGACAAGACGAUUACGAGUAGUUAGUGGAUGUGUGUGUGCUCACUUUCUGUUCCAAGUUUAAGGCUAGGAUAUUGCUCUUCCCCACCAACUGAGCUGUCCUGCAGACCAGUCAACACCUUACGGUUCUGUCUGAAGGUUGUAAACAGUGGUACACCCAACAGCUUGGACUGAAGCUUUGAGAAUUUUUGAAGAAGGCUGCUCGACCUAGAGAAAGCCAGAACAAAUCCGGCUGGUUGUGUUUUCUACCUUAUAAACAGGUCCUACCAUUUAAAAUCACUUCAGUGAUGGAGAUGUCUCCCAAAGAUUUAGAGAACAAGGCUUUUUUUUCCCCCAGUCGCCCCUCCUGGAUCUUUUCACAGCUCCCAGCUUCACAUUGGGAAGAGGACCUUGUAAACGGGGGAGUCACAACCAGCAUGGAGGAAGAGCCCCUGAAGUGUCAGGACUGCAGUGUGUCUCAUGCAAAGAGAGUGCUCUAUAAAAAUCUGACAGCUGAACUCAGUUGCUCUUUCCUGGCAGAAAGUGGGGGUGGGAUCUAACAUCAGUGCAGGCAAAAUUAGAUAACCAUUCGUCUCAUAGAAAUGAUUCUGUGCCUUGGGAAUACAGAUUUGGGGCCGCAUUACUUACAAACUACACUCACCAGGUUAAUAGAUACCCCCUAAGCACCAGCCCCCCCCCCAAGUCCCUACGAGCAUUGUCCACACACAGCAGGGAUAUCGACGGCUUCCUCUUCAUGCCAUACAGAUUCCCUCCGUGCCCAUCUUUUGUAACCACAGGUCUUGUUAAAAUUCCUUGCAGCACUUCAUGUCCUCUCAUGUCCCAUGUGCUCAGGCCCAGAAGAAGCAAAACAGAAUUCUGAGGGCCUCUGAGUCAGCUCCUGUGCCUUGUGAGGUGUAUACGUGAGCCCCCACGGAGAAAUGGAGACAUCUUGUCCCCACCUGAGGAGUGGACAUCUGCCUGGUCCUUGCCAACAUGGAGGCGGAAAUGGGAGAAAAGGCUUUUAGUUGCUAAUUUGUUUCCGCUGAGCCUAGUGUUUGAGAAACCUGGAUGAGAGCUUGGCACUCCCACUUGCGGCCUGGCAGGACCUGUGGAGCCAUUAGCAGUGGGGGUCUUAGCGAGAACCACUUCAUUAGAACACUUCAGCAGAGGCAGUUAGCAGGGCCCACAGGAUAAGUUCUGCUUCUACCCCACAAAGGCAGUCACAGGAGAGAGUGGAGAGAGCAGUAAGGUGGAGGCUGGAGGGAGCCAGACACAGAUUCUGGUUGGUUCGUUCAUUCAUUCAUUCAUUCAUUCAUUCAUUCAUUCAUUCAUUCACUCCUUAGGUUUUUGCAGUUUUACUGAGUAAGAACAGGUGUCCUGAGGAAAGAGAAUAAGAGGGACUUGGAAAACCAGUUUUAGUAGCCAUUCAGAGGGUCCAAGUACUAUGCUAGGUCUCUCCCCUUUCUCUCCCCGCAACCCCUGGUACUUAUGUCUCCGAUGUGCCUUGUAGCUGAUCCAGGGUGACAGGAAUCUCUGUCCCUGGAAGGUGUCAUAUAUUACUGUCUAGGAUUAGGUUGAAGUUGGGGGUGGGGGCUUUCUCCGUAGACACAAAGGUGGUUUCCCUCAAAGUGAGCCACUAUUAGAUUCGCCCAUCAGGGGAAAAGAAAUGGGGUUAUAUCCAUUAGGAAAAUCCCAUUUCGUAGAUAGAAGUUCAAUCACAUAAAAAUGUGGCCAGGCAGGAUUAAAGGUAUUCUAAAUCCUUACCACAGGGCAUUUUCUUGAUGCAAAGGCACUACUAGCCCAUUUGAAAAUUAACAUUCUGUGUCUCUGGGCCAAGAGGCCAGCAUUGUGCACGAGGAGAAAAACAAUGAGUGCUGUAUGUUACAGCCUAAAACUCGGAGCCGCCAUGCUUUCUGUUGGUUCCUAAAGGGAAGGAAAGCUUUCCUGGGUAUUUUUCUAAGGGGUUGAGGAUUGUGCUGUGUUAGUUUUGGGCCUGUGAACCUGAUUGAAAUGGAAAGCAGGGGUGACUCAUUGCCAGGAGAAGGAAAUGCCAUGGAAGGUACUGUAGUUUCUGGAGUCCUUUCUGAGGACACACAGACCGUCUGGCUCUCUGGGCAGAAACAGAUCUACCCACUGCAGUGACCUGACUGACUGUGCUCAGCUCUUCGCCUCUAUGAAAUGUGCCCUGCCUGUCUGUCUCAUCCUGUCUUCUGAGAGCGUGGUUCACAGACCUUGUGUCUGAGUGAAGGGAACCCAGGUUCAGAUUCCGUUUCUCUGCUUCUGUCUUUUUCUCAGCAGCAGGGUAGGAACAGGCCUUUUGUGCACAUACAACAGAUGAAGCCCAUGAUGAGUCUGUGGGAAACACCAACACUCAUGCACCCUGUGGGUGACCCUCCCUACACAGCGCAGAGCAGAGAGAACCCGGGAGGUGCUGCAGGCUUCACUGAGCUUUCCUUGCCCAGACUGGCAACCGACUUUGCUCUCUUUUGAAAGACUCUAGCUAAAGUCAGCGUUGUUUAAAUCCAAGUGCAUCACAAGUCUGUGACCUGAACUGUCUUAUGGCUGCUGCUGCUGCUGCUGCUGCUGCUUCUUCUUCUUCUUCUUCUUCUUCUUCUUCUUCUUCUUCUUCUUCUUCUUCUUCUUCUUCUUCUUCUUCUUCUUCUUCUUCAUAGCUAAUUAAAUACCAAAAAAUAAAAUAAAAAUAAAAUAAUAAAGCUUUGUAGUAUACUUGUACUUAGUUUGGGGAAAAAAUGAAAUUGUAAUGCAUUUGUAUUUCCAUUUCUUGCAAAUAAAUAUUUUUCUUAGUCAA
rnacentral:lncRNA from 1 species